AUUAAGCAAGGGCGUAUGGAGGAUGCCUUGACAUUAAGAGGCGAUGAAGGUCGUGGCGUGACUGCGAUAAGCUUCGGGGAGCCGUCUAGCGGGCUUUGAUCCGGAGAUGACCGAAUGGGGCAACCCAAUUGAGCAAACCUCAAUUAUCCCCCGAUUUAAAUCGGGGGGAGCAUACUCGGCGAAGUGAAACAUCUCAGUAGCCGAAGGAAGAGAAACCGCAAGGAUUCCGUAAGUAGCGGCGAGCGAAAGCGGAACAGCCUAAACCAUGUGCUUCGCACAUAGUUCGUAAAGUUAAAAGUUCAUCAGGUUCAUUAAGUAAUCAAAAAACCUUAUAACCUUAUAACUUUAUAAACUUUCUGAUUUAUGUGUGAAGUGCAUGGGGUAAUAGGGAAGAACAUUUUCUUUAGAAUCUAGAAAUUAGAAUCUAGAAAAUAGAAGGAGGAGAAAUCCAAAUUCUACUUUCUAUUUUCUACUUUCUAUUUUCUUGAAGAUAAAGAGUUACAAAAUUGAAAGUUAGCAAAAUGGCCUUGGAAUAGCCAACCAAAGAAGGUGACAGUCCUGUAAGCAAAAAUUUUCAAUCUCUUGUUCUAAGAUAAUCAGUCAAAAACUUUUUAAAAAGUUUUUGACUGAUUAUCUCCCCUGAGUAGCCCGGGAUCAGAAUGUCCUGGGUGAAUUUGUCCGUACUACCGGAUAAGGCUAAAUACUCUUAAUGAUCGAUAGUGAACCAGUACCGUGAGGGAAAGGUGAAAAGCACCCCGGUGAGGGGAGUGAAAUAGUAACUGAAACCAUAUGCCUACAAAGAGCGAGAGUCCCACACACAACUUUGGAAUGCGCCAAAGGCGCUUCUGAGGUGCAAGAGCACCUAUCUAAAGUUGUGUGUGGGAUGAUCGUGUGCCUAUUGAAGAAUGACCCAACGAGUUUAUCUAAAUGACGUGUCUAAGCCGUUAUGCGGCGAAGGCGUAGGGAAACCGAGUGUUAAAAGCGCGUAUUCCAACUCAAAUUUUUGGAUUUUAAAAUUAAAACGCCAGAUAAUCAAGGAUUAUCUGGCAGAGUAAUUCAUGUCUGGCUAGUUAGCGGACCCAGCCGAGAAUCGGGAAUAACCAAAGCGGCGUGGUUGCCAAAAAUAUAAAGCCAGAAAUAGCAGUAAAGGUCCAAAACAAACCUUGCCUAGAUUCUUUGUCAAUUUCAAUUUCGUAGCCGAAUGCCCUCAAUGCCCUCAUGUUAAAGAUCCUCCUUUUGUCUGGCAGUCUAUUUGCCAGAUCAAAGAACUGUAUCACAUGAGUAAAAUUUUGUCAAGAGUCUAAAAAUUUGAGUUGGAUAAGUCGUUUGGAUAAGACCCGAAGCCAGAGCGAGCUAACCAUGACCAGGGUGAAGUCCCGAGAAAUCGGGAUGGAGGCCCGAACCGAUAGAUAGCGCAAUAUCUCCGGAUGAGUUGUGGUUAGAAGUGAAAAGCUUAUCGAGCCUGGUAAUAGCUGGUUCUCCC
rnacentral:rRNA from 1 species